GGUAUGGUGGCUUAGUGGUUAGUUCUGUUGUCUCGCAUCUCCAGGGUUGGGGGUUCGAAUCCCGCCUCCACCC